CACUAUGAAAUAAACGCGUAAAAAAAUUCAUCACCACUGUACAUGUAGGGGAGGUUUCCACUUCAAUUCCUUUUUGUUAUUUUUUCCAGCAAAUAAGCAAGGAUGUUAUAUUUCGGAUCUUAAAGAUGUAAUACCGUUCGGCGAAGGAGAACCCUCGAAAACCGCCUGCCAGCGAUAUAACUGCAGAGAGGACUUUGUGCAAAUAGUAGGUUGCGGCGUAGCGGCAGCAGUGCCUCCAUGCUACGUGACACAGGACCUGUCUCUGGUGCACCCAGCCUGCUGCCCCACCAUCAAGUGCCCUAAAGAGGAAGAAGUAGAAGAGUGUGACGAAGAAGUCUGAACUUGAUAAGUUCUUUAGUAUCUUACUUCUAUCACAGCUUCUAUUUAGACCUGUCUUAAGUAAAUGAAAUAAAUAUUA